rnacentral:rRNA from 1 species
ACUAGGAAUUUUGCGCAAUGGGGGCAACCCUGACGCAGCGACACAGCGUGGAGGAGGAAGGUCUUCGGAUUGUAAACUCCUUUUAUAUGGGAAGAAUAGAUGACUGUACCAUAUGAAUAAGCACCUGCUAACUACGUGCCAGAAGCAUCGGUGAUGCGUAGGGUGCGAACGUUAUCCGGAUUUAUUGGGCGUAAAGAGAUGCGUAGGCGUUUCAGUUAGUCUAUCGUUAAAAGUCACGGCUUAACCGUGAAGAUGCGUUGGAUACUGCUGAAAUUGAGACAUGAAGGGUUGAACGGAACUCCAAGUGGAGCGGUGAAAUGCGUUGAUAUUUGGAAGAACAUCAGAGGCGAAGGCGGUUCACUGGUCAUUGUCUGACGCUAAGGCUCGAAAGCGUGGGUAGCAAAACGGAUUAGAUACUCUUGUAGUCC